rnacentral:rRNA from 1 species
AACGAACGCUGGCGGCAUGCCUAACACAUGCAAGUCGAACGAGACCUUCGGGUCUAGUGGCGCACGGGUGCGUAACGCGUGGGAACCUGCCCUUAGGUUCGGAAUAACUCCCCGAAAGGGGUGCUAAUACCGGAUAAUGUCUUCGGACCAAAGAUUUAUCGCCUUUGGAUGGGCCCGCGUUGGAUUAGCUAGUUGGUAGGGUAAAAGCCUACCAAGGCGACGAUCCAUAGCUGGUCUGAGAGGAUGAUCAGCCACACUGGGACUGAGACACGGCCCAGACUCCUACGGGAGGCAGCAGUGGGGAAUAUUGGACAAUGGGCGAAAGGCUGAUCCAGCAAUGCCGCGUGAGUGAUGAAGGCCUUAGGGUUGUAAAGCUCUUUUAACCGGGAUGAUAAUGACAGUACCGGGAGAAUAAGCCCCGGCUAACUCCGUG